UGGAGGACCGAACCCACUGUCGUUGAAAAGCCAGGGGAUGACUUGUGGAUAGGGGUGAAAGGCUAAUCAAACUCGGUGAUAGCUGGUUCUCCCCGAAAGCUAUUUAGGUAGCGCCUCGGACGAAUACCAUUGGGGGUAGAGCACUGUUUCGGCUAGGGGGUCAUCCCGACUUACCAAACCGAUGCAAACUCCGAAUACCAAUGAGUACUAUCCGGGAGACAGACUGCGGGUGCUAACGUCCGUAGUCAAGAGGAAAACAAUCCAGACCGCCAGCUAAGGCCCCUAAAUUAUAGUUAAGUGGGAAACGAUGUGGGAAGGCAUAGACAGCUAGGAGGUUGGCUUAGAAGCAGCCACCCUUUAAAGAAAGCGUAAUAGCUCACUAGUCGAGUCGGCCUGCGCGGAAGAUGUAACGGGGCUAAAACUAUAUGCCGAAGCUGCGGAUUUACACAUUAGUGUAAGUGGUAGGGGAGCGUUCUGUAAGCCGAUGAAGGUGGAUUGAGAAGUCUGCUGGAGGUAUCAGAAGUGCGAAUGCUGACGUGAGUAACGACAAAGCGGGUGAAAAACCCGCUCGCUGAAAGACCAAGGGUUCCAGUCCAACGUUAAUCGGGGCUGGGUGAGUCGACCCCUAAGGCGAGGCCGAGAGGCGUAGUCGAUGGGAAAUUGGUUAAUAUUCCAAUACUUCUGUUUAAUGCGAUGAGAGGACGGAGAAGGUUAAGUCAGCCUGGCGUUGGUUGUCCAGGUGGAAGGUUGUAGGCAUGUAUCUUAGGCAAAUCCGGGGUACUCUAUGCUGAGAACUGAUAGCAAGCUGUACUUGUACAGUGAAGUGGCUGAUACCAUACUUCCAGGAAAAGUCUCUAAGCUUCAGUUAAACAGGAAUCGUACCCGAAACCGACACAGGUGGUCAGGUCGAGUAGACCAAAGCGCUUGAGAGAACUCUGCUGAAGGAACUAGGCAAAAUGGUACCGUAACUUCGGGAGAAGGUACGCUGCCGGCGGUGAUAGGACUUGCUCCUUGAGCUGUUGGCAGCCUCAGAAACCAGGCCCCUGCAACUGUUUAUUAAAAACAUAGCACUCUGCAAACACGAAAGUGGACGUAUAGGGUGUGAUGCCUGCCCGGUGCUGGAAGGUUAAUUGAUGUGGUUAGCGCAAGCGAAGCUAUUGAUCGAAGCCCCAGUAAACGGCGGCCGUAACUAUAACGGUCCUAAGGUAGCGAAAUUCCUUGUCGGGUAAGUUCCGACCUGCACGAAUGGCAUAAUGAUGGGGGCGCUGUCUCCAGCAGAGGCUCAGUGAAAUCGAAAUCGCCGUGAAGAUGCGGUGUACCCGCGGCUAGACGGAAAGACCCCGUGAACCUUUACUGCAGCUUGACAUUGAACUUUGAUCUUACUUGUGUAGGAUAGGUGGGAGGCUUUGAAGUGGCGACGCUAGUUGCCAUGGAGCCGUCCUUGAAAUACCACCCUGGUAAUAUUGAGGUUCUAACUCUGUCCCGUUAUCCGGGACGAGGACCAUGUCUGGUGGGUAGUUUGACUGGGGCGGUCUCCUCCUAAAGAGUAACGGAGGAGUACGAAGGUGCGCUCAGCGUGGUCGGAAAUCACGCGUAGAGUAUAAAGGCAAAAGCGCGCUUAACUGCGAGACCCACAAGUCGAGCAGGUACGAAAGUAGGUCUUAGUGAUCCGGUGGUUCUGUAUGGAAGGGCCAUCGCUCAACGGAUAAAAGGUACUCUGGGGAUAACAGGCUGAUACCGCCCAAGAGUUCAUAUCGACGGCGGUGUUUGGCACCUCGAUGUCGGCUCAUCUCAUCCUGGGGCUGAAGCAGGUCCCAAGGGUAUGGCUGUUCGCCAUUUAAAGAGGUACGCGAGCUGGGUUUAGAACGUCGUGAGACAGUUCGGUCCCUAUCUACCGUGGGCGCUGGAAAUUUGAGAGGAUCUGCUCCUAGUACGAGAGGACCAGAGUGGACGAACCUCUGGUGUACCGGUUGUGACGCCAGUCGCAUCGCCGGGUAGCUAUGUUCGGAAGGGAUAACCGCUGAAAGCAUCUAAGCGGGAAGCCUACCUCAAGAUAAGAUUUCCCUGUGACUUUAUGUCACCUAAAGAGCCGUUGAAGACUACGACGUUGAUAGGUUGGAUGUGGAAGUGUAGCGAUAUGUGAAGCUGACCAAUACUAAUUGCUCGUGAGGCUUGACUAU
rnacentral:rRNA from 1 species